rnacentral:rRNA from 1 species
GACAGAGGGGGCAAGCGUUGCUCGGAAUCACUGGGCGUAAAGGGCGCGUAGGCGGGGUGGCAAGUCAGUCGUGAAAUCUCUCGGCUCAACCGAGAAACGUCGGCUGAUACUGCCGUUCUUGAGGGAUGCAGAGGAGACUGGAAUUCCCGGUGUAGCGGUGAAAUGUGUAGAGAUCGGGAGGAACACCGGUGGCGAAGGCGGGUCUCUGGGCAUCUCCUGACGCUGAGGCGCGAAAGCGUGGGGAGCAAACGGG